rnacentral:tRNA from 1 species
CGGGACGUAGCGCAGCCCGGUAGCGCACUUGUAUGGGGUGCAAGUGGUCGCUGGUUCGAAUCCAGUCGUCCCGA